CGGCCACGGUACCCUAACCGUGCGAAGGUCGCAUAAUCACUUGUUCUUUAAAUGGGGACUCGUAUCAACGGCAUCACGAGGGUUUUACUGUCUCCUUUCUCUAAUCAGUGAAACUAAUCUCCCCGUGAAGAAGCGAGGAUAACACUAUAAGACGAGAAGACCCCAUGGAGCUUUAAACCCAAUUAUAUCCCUAACCCCUAUNACCAUUUAAUCUCUUAGGCNCCUAUAUACUUGGUUUUAGGUUGGGGCGACCACGGAGUAAAACCAAACCUCCAUGAUGUACGGAACAACCUCNCUUAUCUAAGAGCCACAGCUCUAAGAAUUAGCACACUAUCAUAAAAUGANCCCAUUAUUGAUCAACGAACCAAGUUACCCUGGGGAUAACAGCGCAAUCCAUUUUAAGAGCCCCUAUCGACAAAUGGGUUUACGACCUCGAUGUUGGAUCAGGAUAUCCCAGUGGUGUAGCAACUACNAAAGGUUCGUUUGUUCAACGAUCAAAAUCCU
rnacentral:rRNA from 1 species